rnacentral:rRNA from 1 species
GAUGAACGCUGGCGGUAUGCUUAACACAUGCAAGUCGAACGGACUCUUCGGAGUUAGUGGCGGACGGGUGAGUAACGCGUGAGAAUCUGGCUUUGGGUUCGGGACAACCACUGGAAACGGUGGCUAAUACCGGAUAUGCCGAGAGGUAAAAGAGAAAUUGCCUGAAGAUGAGCUCGCGUCUGAUUAGCUAGUUGGUGAGGUAAAGGCUCACCAAGGCAGCGAUCAGUAGCUGGUCUGAGAGGAUGACCAGCCACACUGGGACUGAGACACGGCCCAGACUCCUACGGGAGGCAGCAGUGGGGAAUUUUCCGCAAUGGGCGAAAGCCUGACGGAGCAAUACCGCGUGAGGGAAGAAGGCUCUUGGGUUGUAAACCUCUUUUCUUAGGGAAGAACAAAAUGACGGUACCUAAGGAAUCAGCAUCGGCUAACUCCGUG